CCUAAAGCCCUAUAACACA
rnacentral:tRNA from 1 species